rnacentral:rRNA from 1 species
GAUGAACGCUGGCGGCGUGCCUAAUACAUGCAAGUCGAGCGAACGGACGAGAAGCUUGCUUCUCUGAUGUUAGCGGCGGACGGGUGAGUAACACGUGGAUAACCUACUUAUAAGACUGGGAUAACUUCGGGAAACCGGAGCUAAUACCGGAUAAUAUUUUGAACCGCAUGGUUCAAAAGUUAAAGACGGUCUUGCUGUCACUUAUAGAUGGUUCCGCGCUGCAUUAGCUAGUUGGUAAGGUAACGGCUUACCAAGGCAACGAUGCAUAGCCGACCUGAGAGGAUGAUCAGCCACACUGGAACUGAGACACGGUCCAGACUCCUACGGGAGGCAGCAGUAGGGAAUCUUCCGCAAUGGGCGAAAGCCUGACGGAGCAACGCCGCGUGGGUGAUGAAGGUCUUCGGAUCGUAAAGCUCUGUUAUUAGGGAAGAACAUAUGUGGAAGAAACUGUGGCCAUCUUGACGGUACCUAAUCAGAAAGCCCCGGCUAACUACGUG